rnacentral:tRNA from 1 species
GGAGAUAUAGCUCAGUGGUAGAGUGCAUGGUUAGCAUGCAUGAGGUCCUGGGUUCAAUCCCCAGUACCUCCA